rnacentral:rRNA from 1 species
CAGAGCAAUCUGUGUGACUGCGUACCUUUUGUAUAAUGGGUCAGCGACUUAUAUUCUGUAGCAAGGUUAACCGAAUAGGGGAGCCGAAGGGAAACCGAGUCUUAACUGGGCGUUAAGUUGCAGGGUAUAGACCCGAAACCCGGUGAUCUAGCCAUGGGCAGGUUGAAGGUUGGGUAACACUAACUGGAGGACCGAACCGACUAAUGUUGAAAAAUUAGCGGAUGACUUGUGGCUGGGGGUGAAAGGCCAAUCAAACCGGGAGAUAGCUGGUUCUCCCCGAAAGCUAUUUAGGUAGCGCCUCGUGAAUUCAUCUCCGGGGGUAGAGCACUGUUUCGGCAAGGGGGUCAUCCCGACUUACCAACCCGAUGCAAACUGCGAAUACCGGAGAAUGUUAUCACGGGAGACACACGGCGGGUGCUAACGUCCGUCGUGAAGAGGGAAACAACCCAGACCGCCAGCUAAGGUCCCAAAGUCAUGGUUAAGUGGGAAACGAUGUGGGAAGGCCCAGACAGCCAGGAUGUUGGCUUAGAAGCAGCCAUCAUUUAAAGAAAGCGUAAUAGCUCACUGGUCGAGUCGGCCUGCGCGGAAGAUGUAACGGGGCUAAACCAUGCACCGAAGCUGCGGCAGCGACGCUGAUGCGUUGUUGGGUA